UUGAAACAAUAAACAAUUCGAGUUUCUCGGUUCAUAAAAUGAUGAAUUGACGGUUUGUUAGGAUAGUAAUUAAUUAACACUAAUCUUCGGUGCUUUAAGGCUCUCAGAUUAGAGAUGAUGGAGCAGGUGCGCCGUCGCCCUUUCCAUCAUGUGAAGCUGUUUCUGAUUGUUCUUGUGGAUAGGAGGGAUAGUAAUCUGAUCUGUGACGGUUCCCUCCACCUGCUGUUGAUGGAGAGAAGGGGUUUGCAGAGCUGGUCUGGUCAGAGGAAAGGUGGAAGACCUGACAAGAUGCUUAAAAUAGUGUUGUAGCUCAUAGUUUGGCAUAGAUAAAGAUGGAUAGAAAAGCUUUGACUGCUGCGUUGCAGUCCAGAGACAGAACAUAUGUGUUUUUGUGGACCUACAGCCAGUUCAAGCAGGAGCAGAGAGAGUGGGACGCUGUUAACAGGUUGCUGCAGCAUCAUGGCUUCAAACCUGUCAACUUUGCAGAUCCAACAGAGAACAAGUACCUUGCAGGUAAUGCAUCACUGAUAUUUUCUUUCAAGUCUU